ensembl:snoRNA SNORA70 Small nucleolar RNA SNORA70
CUGCAGCUAACUAAGUUGACCCUGCUCCUUUCUUCAUGGGGUCCUGGUGUGCAUUGGCUGCAAAUAGUAGCCUCCUCGGUAGUGUAUGCAGCCUGUUGCUUGUAUAGGUUGCUCUAAGGGACCUUGGAGACAUUC